GUCUUUUUGCUUAUAAUUUAAAGUCGAAUCUGCCCACUGAUAAUUUAUUAAAGGGCUGCAGUAUAUUGACUGUACAAAGGUAGCAUAAUCAUUAGUCUUUUAAUUGAAGACUUGUAUGAAUGAUUUGAUGAAAUAUAAACUGUCUCUAUUUUAUAAUUAAAAUUUAAUUUUUUAGUAAAAAAGCUAAAAUAAAUAAAAAAGACGAGAAGACCCUAUAGAGUUUUAUAAUUAAUUUUAUUAAAAUUUUUUAUAAAUAUUAAAUAAAAAUAUUUUUAAUUAUUUUAUUGGGGUGAUAAAAAAAUUAAUUAAACUUUUUUUAUAUUUAAAUAUUAAUAAAUAAUAAAAUGAUCCAUAAAUUAUGAUUAAAAGAAAAAAUUACCUUAGGGAUAACAGCGUAAUUUUUUUUUUUAGUUCAAAUAGAAAAAAGAGUUUGCGACCUCGAUGUUGGAUUAAGAUAAAAUUUAAAUGCAGAAGUUUAAAAUUUUGAUCUGUUCGAUCAUUAAAAUCUUACA
rnacentral:rRNA from 1 species